UACGUAGGUGGUUUAUUAAGUCAGAUGUGAAAGCCCCGGGCUUAACCUGGGAACUGCAUUUGAUACUGGUAAACUAGAGUAUGGUAGAGGGGGGUAGAAUUUCUAGUGUAGCGGUGAAAUGCGUAGAUAUUAGAAGGAAUACCAGUGGCGAAGGCGGCCCCCUGGACCAAUACUGACACUGAGGUACGAAAGCGUGGGGAGCAAACAGGAUUAGAUACCCUGGUAGUCC
rnacentral:rRNA from 1 species